rnacentral:rRNA from 1 species
GAUGAACGCUGGCGGCGUGCCUAAUACAUGCAAGUCGAGCGAACGGACGAGAAGCUUGCUUCUCUGAUGUUAGCGGCGGACGGGUGAGUAACACGUGGAUAACCUACCUAUAAGACUGGGAUAACUUCGGGAAACCGGAGCUAAUACCGGAUAAUAUUUUGAACCGCAUGGUUCAAAAGUGAAAGACGGUCUUGCUGUCACUUAUAGAUGGAUCCGCGCUGCAUUAGCUAGUUGGUAAGGUAACGGCUUACCAAGGCAACGAUGCAUAGCCGACCUGAGAGGGUGAUCGGCCACACUGGAACUGAGACACGGUCCAGACUCCUACGGGAGGCAGCAGUAGGGAAUCUUCCGCAAUGGGCGAAAGCCUGACGGAGCAACGCCGCGUGAGUGAUGAAGGUCUUCGGAUCGUAAAACUCUGUUAUUAGGGAAGAACAUAUGUGUAAGUAACUGUGCACAUCUUGACGGUACCUAAUCAAAGAGCCACGGCUAACUACGUG